rnacentral:misc_RNA from 1 species
AGAUGCAAGCUGAGCUCAUUAAACAAAUCAAACAUCUGCCCCAGAUCGGCCGCGUUGCCAUGGGAGUAGAGCAGAGUCAAUGAAGCAGCAGGGUUCUUAAAAUACACCGCCACCACCUGAUUCCCUCUCUUGGUAUCCAGCUUCAAAACAUCGACAUUUUCUCUCGUCCCCACCUCCACCAUCAUCAACUUCCCACUCGACUCGUCCAUCUCCACCUGGUAAGAAGGCGGACUCGGCGGAAAAAAUGCGAACUUCGCCGCCAUCGUUGACGUAACGGCCCCCAUCCUCAAAAAAACACAAAAUGCCAAUCCAAAUCACC